UACGGGGGGGGCAAGCGUUGUUCGGAAUUACUGGGCGUAAAGGGCUUGUAGGUGGCCAACUAAGUCAGACGUGAAAUCCCUCGGCUUAACCGGGGAACUGCGUCUGAUACUGGAUGGCUAGAGAUUGGGAGAGGGAUGCGGAAUUCCAGGUGUAGCGGUGAAAUGCGUAGAUAUCGGGAGGAACAUCAGUGGCGAAGGCGGCCUUCUGGUCCAGUACUGACACUCAAGUGCGAAAGCGUGGGGAGCAAACAGG
rnacentral:rRNA from 1 species